CUACUAGGGACCUGAUUUUUUUAAACUCUGCUGACUGGUUUAUCUCUGAGGAGAUAAAUGGUUUAACUUGCUUUAUUCUGUUACUUAGAUUAAUUAGCUAGUGUUUACAUGGCUCACUAAAAUAUGUAGAGCUCUAUAAAUGUUCAUACCCUUCAAAUAAAAAUGGCUCUGGGAUCUUCCUGAAAGCCAGGUUUUAAACCUUGCAUUAUCUAAUGCUAGGGAGCUAUGAGUAACAGCCUCUUCCUUCCUUCCACAGCACUGCUUGUGUUUUCCUUUGCUGCCUGUAUUUCACAUUUUUCAGCUUCUUCUUAGCAACACAUUUUCAAGGCAACAGUGCCUACACUUUUGUCAGUAAGCCUCAAUAUUCAUCACACAGAGACACAACCACACAGUUUUGGGUUUAGCUGCAAAUGCAUGAAGAGAAGCAGUCUCACCUGCAGCACAGCUGGGCUCUGCUUAGAGCAGAUGUCUGCAACAGGUCAAAAAAGUCACUCCUAUGAUGCCAGAAGAUUUUUACUUUUUAUAUAUUUUUCACAUAUCUGUAGCUCUGUAGACUAUUAUUAUAUAUAGUUUCUUAAGCUAACUCCAGUAUUUUGCUAGACAAACACAUUCCUGGAAUCCUAUUCUAAUCUUGCUUCUUCUGUGAAGCAAGGCCAUGUCACUUUUCCAUGGGUUUAGACAUAAACAGUGUGGGGCUAGAAGCAAUGUGGGAGGCUUCAGCAGGGGGCCAGACCAAGAGGGGAAUUUCUUCAUUAACUGUACUUCUAACUGGGGAUUCUUGUCAGUUAUGAUAAUUUCCUAAACUUAUGAAAAUUCCAAAGCUCUUUGUCAUGGGGGCACUCUGCCACAAGUGCACCUGAAGGACCUUCAAUAAAUGAGAUGAUCAUCAACACAACUUCAACAAGACUAAAAUAGCCUCCUCUUCUCUUCAGCCAUCUGCUGGGGACAGGGUCCUGGGUUGGCUUGGUAAGGCUGCUCCUAUGACCUCACCAUCAUCCUUGUGCCAUCCUGGUUUAGUGACUAGCAGGGCUCUUCCAAAUACUUUGAGAACUGCUCGAGAGCUGGAUCAGGUAACUCCCAUCAUACUCCAGCUGCUGGAUUUACACACAGUAGUUGCAAAUAAUCACACAGUUGAACAGGGGACUGAGAUGCACUCUUGGAGCUGCUCUGCUGCCAAGGGUCUGGCAGUGCUCCUUGAACUCAGGAAUGCUGAGGAUUAGGAGGAGGAAUGCAACCCCAUCAACCUGCCCUUCCACUUCUUCACCUCAGGAAAACAAAGGUGCAAAUGCUGUUUCAUGGGAUGGAUUUGGAACAGUUUUUAGAGAGCAAACCUGGAAAAUCUACAGAACAGCAACAUUCUCUCCUGCUGGAUCUCCUUUGGCAAUAAAGUUGGAUCUCCCCGCCAUCCCUGAUCUGAUCCCUGCAUUUCACUCCUUCAAGUAGUUUGGCACCUCUAAGCUGGUGUAAAAAGAGGAAGAUUAUGAAAACAAGGAAACAGAAUUCUUUGAGAAAUCAAUAAACAGUUGCUUGUUUUUGUCCGUGC